UCGGAAUUUUACUGUUUUUUUUUUUUAAUUUUGAGACUAAUAAAUAGUUUAAAUUUUUAAAAUAUAUCUUACAUUUACAAUAUUUCGAGAUUAAAUAUUAAACCCUUGGAAUUUUAAGGAAAACAAAAUGGAAGAAUCAUUUGAGUUGCUCAGCUCCAUGUCCCCAAAAGUUAAGGGUAAACAGAAAACUUUGAAAAUAAAAAAAGUCUCGAGAUUAGCUCUGAAAAAACACUUUAGACGCUCAGCAGCAUUUGACGAAUCAUUAAAUAUGAGAAACCAGGACUUAAGUAUUGUAGAAGUUAAUACUGAAAGCUCAGAAAGUAUUCACAGUUCAAACUCUCUCAGCAAACCAGAUAUUAUUAUUGACUCAACAGAUUCAGAGGACUCAGAGCCACCUAUUUUACAUAAAACUGACAAAUUUCCUUUAUCACAAGGAAGUACCGGUAAAAAAAAUGAAAUUAUUGAGCAGUGGUUACAAGAUGUAGAUGGUGACAAAAAGUCUGAAACGUUUUUCAGUCAAGUCUCAACAAUAUAUGGGGAGGAGCAGUCCAAUUUAGAUAAUGAUAAAAUAGCUGCUUGUUCUAGUUUUAAUGACUAUUUAACUCACAGGUUUGAUGAGUUAUUUAUUGACAAAAAAAAUGAUGAUAAAGUUAGUGUAAUUGAUGAAACUUUCUAUGAGAAUUCAUCCAACUUAAAAACAGGAACACAAGACAAAAAAGGCAUAGAUUUAUCUGAUAGUUCUUUUAAUCUAAGAUUUAGUGAAGAUUCCACUAGUAAGACUGAUUCAAAAGUACAAACACCCAAGAAAAAAGACUCCAUGGACAAGAAAAGUCUCUCAGAUGAUUCCUUUAGUUUAGAAUUAGAUGUAAGCCUAAAAUCUAGAAUAAAAAAACAGAAUAUUUCAAAAAAUACUCUUUUGAAAGAAAAAAAUAAUAAUAAGGACUAUCACCACAGUAAAACUGAUAGUUUAAAAAGUGCUAUAAUAAUGAUUGAAGAUAGUCCUGUUACCCCAAUCAAAAGUAAUGCCUUUAUUACUACCAGAAAAAAGAACUUUACUCCAAAAGUAGAUAACACUCCAACCAAUCAAAAUAUUCAAGAAGUUGCUUCUCUCCUUGAUUCUUUAUAUGGAAAAAAAUGGAGAGAGAAAGAGGAUAAAGUACUUCUUCCAAUGUCUGAGCCCAAAAAAAGGAAUCCAAGAAAAAUCCAAAAUAUUCAGGAACCAAAAACUGAAAGAGCAAAAAAACCAAUUAAAAAAACUAAUUUACCAGCUACAAAAAAAUUGAAUUUUGAUCAACUGAAGACACCUAUUCAGUCUCCUUGGAUACAAAAACUGAAGGGCCUCAUCGAUUCUGAUUCCGAUGGAUUUGAAAACCGCGAUUCUCCAUUGAAUAAUGUAAAAACCAAAUUAAAUUUUGAUGAUAAUGAAAGUAAAAGCAAUGUACCAAAAAAGAAACCAGGGAACAGUAUGACAAAUAAGGAAAACUAUCCUUUAAAAAUUUCUGAAAAAAUAAAACAAAUAGGAAGAAUCAAAAGUAAAAGUUCCUCAAGUAGCGAUGAAGAUGUGUCAACGGAUGAUGAAUAUGAUAGGCAAAUUGAAUUUUUGGAAGUUAAGAGAAAAAGUAUGAUGCCACAGAAACCAACAAAGUAUUCUUUUCUGGAGUCAUUAUCAGGUUGUGUGCCACUAGAUAAAUGUGACUUCUCAGCCCGAAUUUUUCGCAGUCAGUUUAAACAAAACAAAAUAGAAUUGUGCAAUAGAUUAUUUAAAUUGUAUAAUGAGAACAUUUUUAAAAAUGCGUUGCCAGAAGAUACCGAGUUGGAGUGGAACGAUAAGCUAAGAAAAACUGCCGGUCUUUGCUACUGCAAGAAGAUUACGAGGAGAACUGGUGUAGUGGAAAGGAAAGUUAGUGCAUGUAAGAAUAGCUCUUUCGACAAAAGUCUUAGAUUCAGCAGAUAGAGUAAGGGACACUCUGAUUCACGAAAUGUGUCACGCCGCAACGUGGAUCGUCAAUGAAGUUCAAGAUGGACAUGGACCCUUUUGGAAAAGCUGGGCUUUUAAAGCAAUGCAAACGUUUCCGGAAUUGCCUCCGAUUAGCCGAUGUCACUCCUAUGCAAUCAAUAGUAAAUAUACGUAUAAAUGCACCGACUGCGGGUACAG
rnacentral:misc_RNA from 1 species